UCGAACAUUUUUAAUUUCCCAUUUAUAAAAAAAAUACCACUAUUGGUUCAUUCUUUAUCUAAUUAGAUAGAUUAGAUAAAUGAUCUAACAAUAAGACAACCUGGCGAACUGAAACUUCUUAGUAGCCAGAGGAAAAAAAGCAAAAGCGAUUCCCAUAGUAGCAGCAAGCGAAAUGGGACAGCCUAAACCGUGAAAACGGGGCUGUGGGAGAGCAAUACAAGUGUCGUGUUGCUAGGCGAAGCAGCCCGAAUGCUACACCCUAGAUGGCGAAAGUCCAGUAGCCGAAAGCAUCACUAGCUUAUGCUCUGACCCCAGUAGCAUGAGGCACGUGGAAUCCCGUGUGAAUCGGCCUCACUCAGUCAUCA
rnacentral:ncRNA from 1 species